UACGUAGGGACCGAGCGUUGUCCGGAUUCAUUGGGCGUAAAGAGCUCGUAGGCGGCUGUUCAAGUCGAACGUGAAAACUCGGAGCUCAACUCCGAGCCUGCGUUCGAUACGGGCAGACUAGAGUGCGGUAGGGGAGACUGGAAUUCCUGGUGUAGCGGUGAAAUGCGCAGAUAUCAGGAGGAACACCGGUGGCGAAGGCGGGUCUCUGGGCCGUAACUGACGCUGAGGAGCGAAAGCAUGGGGAGCGAACAGG
rnacentral:rRNA from 1 species